rnacentral:rRNA from 1 species
AGAGUUUGAUCCUGGCUCAGAUUGAACGCUGGCGGCAUGCCUUACACAUGCAAGUCGAACGCGAAAGCGGGGGCAACCCUGCAAGUAGAGUGGCGAACGGGUGAGUAACACAUCGGAACGUACCCAGGAGUGGGGGACAACCUCGAGAAAUCGAGGCUAAUACCGCAUACGCCCCGAGGGGGAAAGUGGGGGACUUCGCAAGGAGCCUCACGCUAGUGGAGCGGCCGAUGCCCGAUUAGCUAGUUGGCGGGGUAAGAGCCCACCAAGGCGACGAUCGGUAGCUGGUCUGAGAGGAUGAUCAGCCACACUGGGACUGAGACACGGCCCAGACUCCUACGGGAGGCAGCAGUGGGGAAUUUUGGACAAUGGGGGCAACCCUGAUCCAGCCAUGCCGCGUGAGUGAAGAAGGCCUUCGGGUUGUAAAGCUCUUUCGGCCGGAACGAAAUCGCAUCUCCUAACACGGGGUGUGGAUGACGGUACCGGAAGAAGAAGCACCGGCUAACUACGUGCCAGCAGCCGCGGUAAUACGUAGGGUGCGAGCGUUAAUCGGAAUUACUGGGCGUAAAGCGUGCGCAGGCGGUUCGUUAAGACAGGUGUGAAAUCCCCGGGCUCAACCUGGGAAUGGCGCUUGUGACUGGCGGGCUGGAGUACGGCAGAGGGAGGUGGAAUUCCACGUGUAGCAGUGAAAUGCGUAGAGAUGUGGAGGAACACCGAUGGCGAAGGCAGCCUCCUGGGCCAGUACUGACGCUCAUGCACGAAAGCGUGGGGGAGCAAACAGGAUUAGAUACCCUGGUAGUCCA